rnacentral:sRNA from 1 species
UGAUCCUUUGAUGUCUGCUGCUAUCUCUU